ACACGGACCAAGGAGUGCAACAUGCGCGCGAGUCUUUGGGUGAGACGAAAAGCCCUGUGGCGCAAUGAAAGUGAAGCGUCGGCUUGCCGACGCGAGGCGAGAGCCCCUCUCGGGGGUGCCCAUCGUCGACCGAUCCUAUUCACUUGUGAAGGGAUUCGAGUGAGAGCGUGCCUGUUGCGACCCGAAAGAUGGUGAACUAUGCCUGAGUAGGGUGAAGCCAGAGGAAACUCUGGUGGAAGCUCGUAGCGAUUCUGACGUGCAAAUCGAUCGUCAAACUUGGGUAUAGGGGCGAAAGACUAAUCGAACCAUCUAGUAGCUGGUUCCCUCCGAAGUUUCCCUCAGGAUAGCAGGAACCCGAUGGCAGUUUCAUGAGGUAAAGCGAAUGAUUAGAGGUCUUGGGGUUGAAACAACCUCAACCUAUUCUCAAACUUUAAAUGGGUGAGAAGGCCGGCUUGCUCGAGUGAAGUCGGCGCUGGAAUGCCUGGGUUCCUAGUGGGCCAUUUUUGGUAAGCAGAACUGGCGAUGCGGGAUGAACCGGACGCCGGGUUAAGGUGCCCGAAUCGGCGCUCAUCAGACACCAUAAAAGGUGUUGGUUGAUCUAGACAGCAGGACGGUGGCCAUGGAAGUCGGAACCCGCUUAGGAGUGUGUAACAACU
rnacentral:rRNA from 1 species